UAUGUAGCUGAUGGGGCUAGAGGGAUGGCUCAGCAGUUGACAGUGUUUCCUGUUCUUCCAGAGCACACAAGGUAGGCUUCCAGCGUUCAUGUCAGGUGGACCGCAGCCUCUUGUGGUUCCACUCGGAGGAUCUUUUCUGUCCUCCCUGAGGACUGCACAUCUCUUACACACACAUAAAAAAGUAAAUCUUUAAUUUAAAAAAAAGUAGCAGAGGAUGUCUUUACGCUCCUGAUCCUGUGUUUCCAUACCCUGAGUGCUGAGAUUCUGGGCCUGCAGCACCACGCCUGGUUUGUGUGAUGCUGAGGUCGGAGCCCAGGGCUUUAGAUAUGUAGGCAAGCACUCUAGCAGCUGAUCCUUAUUCCUAAGCACCAUACUCCAUUUUGUUUAUUUAACAUGACUUUAUUCUUCAAAAGUUAAAAUUUAUUAUUUAUCAUCAUCGUGUGCAUGUGUAAGAUGGAUAUGGGGGUGUUCGUCCCAGCCCAUGUGUGGACAUCAGAGGACAGCUUUGUGUGGUUGCUUCUCUGCUUCUGCCUUUAUGUGCAUCGUCAGGCUUUACCUACUGAACAGUUCUUUAGAAAAACAUAGCCUUCAGGUGGGGCCUGAGGGGACACACAGGCUUCCAGGCUCAAGCUUGAAGAGGGAGAGCAGGUGGCAUCUGGAUGCUGAGGUGGUGGGGGCAAGCAGAGCCACAGUAGCAGGGUGUGAGCAUGUUGGCCCCUGCAUUAAAGCUGUUGGGAGAUGGCAGUUCUCCCAGCUCGUCCACAUUUGUGGUGGUGAGUCUGGUCUAACAGGACAGAUAGGCCACAGGUGGCACCAGCGUGGAAUUCAGUCCCGGGGACUCUGGACUGCCUUUCUCUGUUCGUUCCCAGACAGCGGGAGCACCGUUUGAAUUUCUUUUCAUUUCAACUAUGAUGUUCUGCUUUGAUCUUCCUUAUCUGAGAUGUUUGUUUCCUUUUAGCUCUUUCUGAUAUGGAGAUCACAGCCCAAUCAUUUGUUUUCAUUUUUGCUGGCUAUGAAGCCACAAGCACGUCCAUUUCCUUCGUGAUGUAUCAACUGGCUACUCACCCUGCUGUGCAGAAGAAACUUCAGGAUGAGAUUGACAGAGCUCUGCCCAAUAAGGCACCUGUCACCUAUGAUGCCCUGAUGGACAUGGAGUACCUGGACAUGGUAAUGAAUGAAACUCUCAGAUUGUACCCAGCUGCUAACAGGCUAGAAAGGAUCUCAAAGAAAGAUGUGGAAAUCAAUAGAGCAUUCAUUCCCAAAGGGACUGUAGUUAUGGUACCAACCUAUCCUCUCCAUCGGGAUCCUGAGUACUAGCCAGAGCCUGAGAAGUUCUGCCCUGAAAGGUUCAGCAAGGAGAACAAGGGCAGCAUCAAUCCUUAUGUAUACCUGCCCUUCGGGAUCGGACCCAGGAACUGCCUUGGCAUGAGGUUUGCCCUCAUCAGUAUGAAAUUCGCUGUCGUCAGAGUCCUGCAGAACUUCACCCUCCAGCCUUGUGAGGAAACAGAGGUGAGGCAAGAAACUCUCUCUAUAAAUUGUAUUUAGUUGGAAUGUUCUUGUUUUUUCAAUUUAGAGUUUCACCUACAGAAAGGGGAAAUUGGUCAUUCAUCAUAUUAUGCUGCCAUGUAUGGAACACAGGAUUUGACCUGUAAGCUUAAGGACCUUCCAUUCUGAGCUGCAAGUCUGUGUCUGGAUAAAGCACAAACAGAGAAAUUAUUUAGAGUUCAUGCAGAUCAGCACGACAUGAUUAAGUAUAGUGUGUUUGAGAUCAAGUCCAGGUUUUGUGUGAUUAACUGGUGAUGGGGAAACUGUUGCACACGCUCAUAGCUCGUAAUGAUCACCUUGCCGUGGUUUGUGAAUGGAGGGCUUCCCGGCACUAGCUCUGCUUUUUUUUUUUUUUCUGGUUUUUCGAGACA